GAAAUGCGAUACGUAAUGUGAAUUGCAUCAGUCAGCCAAUACGGUCAAACGGAUUAUUACUUUUGCUGCAGCUAAUAUAAAGGGAGUUUGACCGUAUUGGCUGACUGAUGCAGGAUUUCACAAGGGUCGGCAACGAUUCUUGUAAAACUCGAUCUCAAAUCAAGUAAGACUACCCGCUGAACUUAA
rnacentral:misc_RNA from 1 species